AGUGAACGCUGGCGGUAGGCCUAACACAUGCAAGUCGAACGGCAGCACAGUAAGAGCUUGCUCUUACGGGUGGCGAGUGGCGGACGGGUGAGGAAUACAUCGGAAUCUACUUUUUCGUGGGGGAUAACGUAGGGAAACUUACGCUAAUACCGCAUACGACCUACGGGUGAAAGCAGGGGAUCUUCGGACCUUGCGCGAUUGAAUGAGCCGAUGUCGGAUUAGCUAGUUGGCGGGGUAAAGGCCCACCAAGGCGACGAUCCGUAGCUGGUCUGAGAGGAUGAUCAGCCAAACUGGAACUGAGACACGGUCCAGACUCCUACGGGAGGCAGCAGUGGGGAAUAUUGGACAAUGGGCGCAAGCCUGAUCCAGCCAUACGGCGUGGGUGAAGAAGGCCUUCGGGUUGUAAAGCCCUUUUGUUGGGAAAGAAAAGCAGCAGGUUAAUACCCCGCUGUUCUGACGGUACCAAAAGAAUAAGCACCGGCUAACUUCGU
rnacentral:rRNA from 1 species